GGCCAAGCUACUAAGGGCACAUGGGGGAUGUCUUGGCGUCAGGAGCCGAUGAAGGGCGUGGAAGACUGCGAUAAGCCCGGGGGAGUUGUCAAACGAGCGUUGAUCCCGGGAUUCCCGAAUUAGCAUACGCUGAAUCCAUAGGCGUAUGCCGCCAACACGGUGAACCGAAACAUCCAAGUAACCGUUGGAAAAGAAAGAAAACUCGAUUUCCCCAGUAGCGGCGAGCGAAAAGGAAAGAGCCCAAACCGCGGGGGUUUUCCCCUGCGGGGUUGUAGGGCCUCUCACAUGAGAGUUACCAAGCUGCCAGCUAGCGGAACUGUCUGGAAAGGCAGGCCAUAGACGGUGACAGCCCGGUACGCGGCAGUGGUGCAGCCUCUCGAGGGGUACCUGAGUAGGUCGGGCCACGUGGAAUCCCGACUGAAUCCGCGGGGACCAUCCCGCAAGGCUAAAUACUCCCUGACGACCGAUAGCGAACUCAGUAGGGCGACUGAAAGAUGGGAAGAACCCCUGCUAGGGGAGGAUACUGAACCUGAAACCAUGUGCCUACAAGCGGUCGGAGCGCUAUGGCGAGUUUACUCGCAAUGCGUGACGGCGUGCCUUUUGUAUAAUGAUCCGGCGAGUUACCGUCCGCGGCAGGUUAAGGCCUUACGGGCCGGAGCCAUAGGGAAACCGAGUCUUAAUAGGGCGCACUGAAGUCGAUGGCGGUAGACGCGAAUCUGCGUGAACUACCCAUGAGCAGGUUGAAUCGCGGGUUAAACCGCGUGGAGGACCGAACCCACUUGGGUUGAAAACCGAGGGGAUGACUUGUGGGGAGGAGUGAAAGUCUAAUCAAACGCAGGGAUAGCUCGUUCUCUCCGAAAUAGCUUUAGGGCUAGCCUUGAGCCACUACGCACCGGGGGUAGAGAUACUGAAUCGGGUUGGGGGUCUUCCCAGACUACCCUCCUGAACCAAACUCCGAAUACCGGUGCGACUAUCUCAGGAGUCAGUCCGCGAGGGAUAAGCUUCGCGGACGAGAGGGAAACAACCCAGACCACCUGCUAAGGCCCCGAAGUCGGGCUUAGUCACUAAGGAAGUUGAAUUGCCGAGACAGCCAGGAUGUUGGCUUAGAAGCAGCCAUCAUUUAAAAAGUGCGUAACAGCUUACUGGCCGAGCAGUUCUGCGCCGAUAAUGAACGGGAGUAAGCCCGACGCCGAAGCAGUGGAUGCGUAGGGACUAGGGACUAGCGGCUAGGGACUAGAGACAAGGGAUUAGGGAUUAGGGAUUAGGGAACGAUGAGCUUUCAUCGGUUCGCUUUCCCCUCUCCCCUCUCCCCUCGUCUCUGGAACCUAGUCUCCAGUCCCUAGCCCCUGCCGUGGUAGGAGAGCGCUGAAGAUCAGAUACGAGCCGUACCGUAAGGAGCGGUGUUGGGGUCUUCAGGUGAUUAUGCCGGAAUGAGUAACGAUAAGACAGGUGAGAAUCCUGUCCGCCGAAAGCCUAAGGUUUCCUGGGGAAGGUAAUUCCGCCCAGGGUUAGCCGGUACCUUAGUCGAGGCCGAAAGGCGUAGACGAUGGAGAGCAGGUCAACAUUCCUGCGCCGCCGGAGUGGACCGAUGGAGGGACGGCGUCUGGAGGGUGAGCGGUACGAGUAGAAAUGUCCGUGGACCGUCUUGAGGUGAGGGAUAGGCAAAUCCGCCCUCGCAAGCCAAGAGCCGGGACCGAACGCAUUUACGUUCGUGAAGUCAUCCAAAUGACGUCCAAGAAAAGCUCCUAAGGGUUGAAGCUCCAGCGACCGUACUAAAACUGACACAGGUAGGCGAGACGAGUAGUCUAAGGCGCUCGGGAGAACACUGGUUAAGGAACUCUGCAAAAUGACCCCGUAAGUUCGCAAUAAGGGGUGCCCUCGGGGGUUUUUUAUUAAAGGCUCCUGGGGGCCACAGUAAAUCGAGAGCUGCGACUGUUUAUCAAAAACACAGGACUCUGCCAACUCGCAAGAGGAUGUAUAGAGUCUGACGCCUGCCCGGUGCCGGUAGGUUAAGGAAGAGGGUUAGCCGUAAGGUGAAGCUCGCGACCGAAGCCCCGGUAAACGGCGGCCGUAACUAUGAACCACUCGUAGUUGUAAAAUUCGGCUAUAUGCUGGAAAACCUGAGUAUCCGACGGUACUCGCUUGGUCCCUGCCCGCGUAGGGUGCGUGAAACGCACCUGUUCGCGGAAUCAAACAAGCAGUGACAAUCCGUUCGGUGCAGGCAAUCAGCAGGAAAGGCCGUCAUGUUCAAAGUCGAUCAGGUUCCAGAUGCCCUCGGGUACUAUUUCGCCGGUUUCGUGGACGGAGAAGGCAGUUUUCAUCUGACCUUCCGCCGUCGGCCGGACUACAAGUUGCCCUGGAAAGUGUCGUUGUGCCUAAACGUGUCCCAAAAGGAUCGCGUCAUUCUGGCACUAAUCAAGCGGCAUCUCCAAUGCGGCACGAUUCGCUACAAAAGCGAUGAUGUCUGGAUGUUCGAGGUAAAUAACCUUAACGCGAUCCGGGGAAAUGUCAUUCCAUUCUUCAAUCGGUUCGGCUUUCUCUCCGCCAAAAAGAAACGCGACUUCGCGAUCUUUUCGCAAAUGGCGGAGUUGAUGGCCGGCGGUUCGCACCUCAACAAGAAAGGCAUCGCCCAAUUGUUGCGGUUGCGGCGGAAGAUGAAUGACGGCGGAAAACGCAAGUACUCCGAGGACACGAUCCUGGCGGCGUUUGAGACGACGGAAUCCCCAGAGACUACACGCCGAACUUUGACGCCUAACGGUGGCGUUGAAGAUGAUAUAGUCCGAUCUGCAGGGCGACCUGCAGAGUCGAGCAGAAAUGGCUCGACCCAUCCGAAUCUUUCGGGUGAGUAACAAAUUGGACGGUCCUAAGGUUAACUAUCAGCUAGCCUUAGUAAAAUCUGGCUAUUUGCUGGGAAGUCUGAGUAUCCGGCGCUACUCGCCGCGACUGCGGCAGUGACAAUGCGACCGGUGCAGGUAAUCAGCAGGAAAGGCCAAGAAACACAAGUUUCUUGGAAUCCUCAGAGACUAUAUGCCAGACUUCACUGUUAGUGAAGAAGAUAUAGUCCGAGCUGCAUGGCGACAUGCAGAGGCCGGCGGAAACGAUCGGUCCCUCGCGGUUCAAUUUGCAAUUUGCAAUUUGCAUUUUUCAAUUUGCAAUUUCGAGCGUAACAAAGCUGAGCGAAGUUCCUUGUCGGGUAAGUUCCGACCUGCAUGAAUGGCGUAACGACAGCUCUACUGUCUCAACCAGUGACCCGGUGAAAUUGUAGCCGUGGUGAAGAUGCCACGUUCCCGCAGCUAGACG
rnacentral:rRNA from 1 species